ensembl:snRNA U1 U1 spliceosomal RNA
AUACUUACCUGGCAGGAGAGAUACCAUGACCAUGAAGGUAGUUUUCCCCGGACUUGGCUUAUUCAUUAUAUUCUGAAUGUGCUGACUCCUAUGAUCUCCCCAAAUGUGAAAAACUUGACUGCAUAAUUUGUGAUAGUGGGAGAUUGUAUUCACGCUCUAUCCUA